CCUACGUGAGGCUGCAGUGAGGAAUAUUGGUCAAUGGGCGGAAGCCUGAACCAGCCAAGUCGCGUGAGGGAUUAAGGCCCUGCGGGUCGUAAACCUCUUUUGCCGAGGAGCAGAGGUCCGGACGUGUCCGGGCCGGGAGAGUACCCGGAGAACAAGCAUCGGCUAACUCCGUGCCAGCAGCCGCGGUAAUACGGAGGAUGCGAGCGUUAUCCGGAUUUAUUGGGUUUAAAGGGUGCGUAGGCGGGCAUUUAAGCCGGCGGUCAAAUGUCGGGGCUCAACCCCGGCCUGCCGUCGGAACUGGUUGCCGUGAGUGGGCGAGAAGUAUGCGGAAUGCGUGGUGUAGCGGUGAAAUGCAUAGAUAUCACGCAGAACCCCGAUUGCGAAGGCAGCAUACCGGCGCCCUACUGACGCUGAGGCACGAAAGUGCGGGUAUCGAACAGGAUUAGAUACCCUAGUAGUC
rnacentral:rRNA from 1 species